GACGAACGCUGGCGGCGUGCCUAAUACAUGCAAGUCGAGCGGACCAACCAGGAGCUUGCUCUUGUUUGGUUAGCGGCGGACGGGUGAGUAACACGUGGGUAACCUGCCUGUAAGACCGGGAUAACUCCGGGAAACCGGAGCUAAUACCGGAUAACACCGUAAACCGCAUGGUUCAUGGUUGAAAGGCGGUCUCGGCUGCCCCUUACGGUUGAGCCCGCGGCCCAUUAGCUAUUUGGGGAGGUAACGGGUCACCAAGGCGACAUUCCGUACCCGGCCUGAGGGGGUGAACGGCCACACUGGGACUGAGACACGGCCCAGACUCCUUCGGGAGGCAGCAGUAGGGAAUCUUCCGCAAUGGACGAAAGUCUGACGGAGCGACGCCGCGUGGGCGAAGAAGGGCUUCGGAUCGUAAAGCUCUGGUGUUAGGGAAGAAGAAGCGCCGUUCGAACAGGGCGGCGCGGUGACGGUACCUAACGAGAAAGCCCCGGCUAACUACGUG
rnacentral:rRNA from 1 species